rnacentral:snRNA from 1 species
AUACAGCAGUAUUUAUUCUAAAAUUGGAAUGAUACAGAGAAGAUUAGCAUGGCUCCUGUGCAAGGACGACACACAAAUUUGUGAAGCAUUCCAUGUUUUU